AACGAACGCUGGCGGCAUGCCUAACACAUGCAAGUCGAACGAGACCUUCGGGUCUAGUGGCGCACGGGUGCGUAACGCGUGGGAACCUGCCCUUAGGUUCGGAAUAACUCUCCGAAAGGGGUGCUAAUACCGGAAAAUGUCUUCGGACCAAAGAUUUAUCGCCUUUGGAUGGGCCCGCGUUGGAUUAGCUAGUUGGUAGGGUAAAAGCCUACCAAGGCGACGAUCCAUAGCUGGUCUGAGAGGAUGAUCAGCCACACUGGGACUGAGACACGGCCCAGACUCCUACGGGAGGCAGCAGUGGGGAAUAUUGGACAAUGGGCGAAAGCCUGAUCCAGCAAUGCCGCGUGAGUGAUGAAGGCCUUAGGGUUGUAAAGCUCUUUUACCCGGGAUGAUAAUGACAGUACCGGGAGAAUAAGCUCCGGCUAACUCCGUG
rnacentral:rRNA from 1 species